rnacentral:rRNA from 1 species
CCUGAUAGCACAUACCAUGCAGUCGACGAUGACUAACUAGCUUGCUAGUUAUGAUUAGUGGCGGACGGGUGAGUAACAUUUAGGAAUCUGCCUAGUAGUGGGGGAUAGCUCGGGGAAACUCGAAUUAAUACCGCAUACGACCUACGGGUGAAAGGGGGCGCAAGCUCUUGCUAUUAGAUGAGCCUAAAUCAGAUUAGCUAGUUGGUGAGGUAAAGGCCCACCAAGGCGACGAUCUGUAACUGGUCUGAGAGGAUGAUCAGUCACACCGGAACUGAGACACGGUCCGGACUCCUACGGGAGGCAGCAGUGGGGAAUAUUGGACAAUGGGGGCAACCCUGAUCCAGCCAUGCCGCGUGUGUGAAGAAGGCCUUUUGGUUGUAAAGCACUUUAAGCAGGGAGGAGAGGCUAAUGGUUAAUACCCAUUAGAUUAGACGUUACCUGCAGAAUAAGCACCGGCUAACUCUGUGCCAGCAGCCGCGGUAAUACAGAGGGUGCGAGCGUUAAUCGGAAUUACUGGGCGUAAAGCGAGUGUAGGUGGCUCAUUAAGUCACAUGUGAAAUCCCCGGGCUUAACCUGGGAACUGCAUGUGAUACUGGUGGUGCUAGAAUAUGUGAGAGGGAAGUAGAAUUCCAGGUGUAGCGGUGAAAUGCGUAGAGAUCUGGAGGAAUACCGAUGGCGAAGGCAGCUUCCUGGCAUAAUAUUGACACUGAGAUUCGAAAGCGUGGGUAGCAAACAGGAUUAGAUACCCUGGUAGUCCACGCCGUAAACGAUGUCUACUAGCCGUUGGGGUCCUUGAGACUUUAGUGGCGCAGUUAACGCGAUAAGUAGACCGCCUGGGGAGUACGGCC